rnacentral:rRNA from 1 species
GCGACUAAGCGUACACGGUGGAUGCCCUGGCAGUCAGAGGCGAUGAAGGACGUGCUAAUCUGCGAUAAGCGUCGGUAAGGUGAUAUGAACCGUUAUAACCGGCGAUUUCCGAAUGGGGAAACCCAGUGUGUUUCGACACACUAUCAUUAACUGAAUCCAUAGGUUAAUGAGGCGAACCGGGGGAACUGAAACAUCUAAGUACCCCGAGGAAAAGAAAUCAACCGAGAUUCCCCCAG